rnacentral:rRNA from 1 species
CCUACGGGAGGCAGCAGUAGGGAAUCUUCCACAAUGGGCGAAAGCCUGAUGGAGCAACGCCGCGUGGGUGAAGAAGGUCUUCGGAUCGUAAAACCCUGUUGUUAGAGAAGAAAGUGCGUGAGAGUAACUGUUCACGUUUCGACGGUAUCUAACCAGAAAGCCACGGCUAACUACGUGCCAGCAGCCGCGGUAAUACGUAGGUGGCAAGCGUUAUCCGGAUUGAUUGGGCGGAAAGGGAACGCAGGCGGUCUUUUAAGUCUGAUGUGAAAGCCUUCGGCUUAACCGGAGUAGUGCAUUGGAAACUGGGAGACUUGAGUGCAGAAGAGGAGAGUGGAACUCCAUGUGUAGCGGUGAAAUGCGUAGAUAUAUGGAAGAACACCAGUGGCGAAAGCGGCUCUCUGGUCUGUAACUGACGCUGAGGUUCGAAAGCGUGGGUAGCAAACAGGAUUAGAUACCCCUGUAGUC